rnacentral:rRNA from 1 species
UACGGGGGGGGCAAGCGUUGUUCGGAAUUACUGGGCGUAAAGGGCUCGUAGGCGGCCAACUAAGUCGGAUGUGAAAUCCCCAGGCUUAACCUGGGAACUGCAUCCGAUACUGGAUGGCUUGAAUCCGGGAGAGGGAUGCGGAAUUCCAGGUGUAGCGGUGAAAUGCGUAGAUAUCUGGAGGAACACCUGUGGUGUAGACAGCUUACUGGACGGUGACUGACGCUGAGGCACGAAAGCGUGGGUAGCAAACAGG